rnacentral:rRNA from 1 species
CCUACGGGAGGCAGCAGUGAGGAAUAUUGGUCAAUGGCCGUAAGGCUGAACCAGCCAAGUCGCGUGAAGGAAGAAGGAUCUAUGGUUUGUAAACUUCUUUUAUAGGGGAAUAAAGGUAUCCACGUGUGGAUAUUUGCAUGUACCCUAUGAAUAAGCAUCGGCUAACUCCGUGCCAGCAGCCGCGGUAAUACGGAGGAUGCGAGCGUUAUCCGGAUUUAUUGGGUUUAAAGGGUGCGUAGGUUGUUUUUUAAGUCAGCGGUGAAAGUUUGUGGCUCAACCAUAAAAUUGCCGUUGAAACUGGAAGACUUGAGUGUGUUUGAGGUAGGCGGAAUGCGUGGUGUAGCGGUUAAAGGCAUAGAUAUCACGCAGAACUCCGAUUGCGAAGGCAGCUUACUAAGCCAUAACUGACACUGAAGCACGAAAGCGUGGGGAUCAAACAGGAUUAGAUACCCUGGUAGUC